rnacentral:rRNA from 1 species
UACGUAGGGGGCAAGCGUUGUCCGGAGUUACUGGGCGUAAAGCGCACGCAGGCGGUCGGCUGCGUCGGCGGUGACAGUCCUCGGCUUACCUGAGGAAGCGCUGCCUAAACGGGUCGACUUGAGGGCCAGAGAGGGACACGGAACUCCGGGUGGAGCGGUGAAAUGCGUAGAGAUCCGGAAGAACACCAAAGGCGAAGGCAGUGUCCUGGCUGGCUCCUGACGCUCAGGUGCGAAAGCUAGGGGAGCAAACAGG